GCCAGCAUGGCGUAGUGGUUUGAGUGUUGGACUAUGACUCUGAAGAUUUGGGUUUGAUUCCCUGCUCAGCCA